AAAUUGCUUGAUUCUUCUUGCAGCAGUUUGGCCUUCAGUGUCCGCUAACUUGGUAUCAGUUGGGUGGCCCUUGAGGAACUGACCCGAGUCAGUCAUCUUCUUCAGGUAAUAGCUUAAGGAGAGUCUAUAGCUGUUGAAACCAGCUGUCUU